rnacentral:rRNA from 1 species
UCGCGAAAACUUCGCAAUAAGCGAAAGCUUGACGGGGCCAUCCCGAGUGCCAUCUGCUGAAGGUGGCUUUUACCCAGUAUAGAUAGCUAGGGGAAUAAGGAGAGGGCAAGUCUGGUGUCAGCCGCCGCGGUAAUACCAGCUCUCCGAGUAGUGGGGAUAUUUAUUGGGCCUAAAGCAUCCGUAGCCGGCUGGGCAAGUCCCCUGUUAAAUCCAGCGAUGAAUCGUUGGUCUGCGGGGGAUACUGUUCGGCUAGGGGGCGGGAGAGGCCGUCGGUAUUCUCGGGGUAGGGGUGAAAUCCUAUAAUCCCGGGAGGACCACCAGUGGCGAAGGCUGUCGGCUAGAACGCGCCCGACGGUGAGGGAUGAAAGCUGGGGGAGCGAACCGGAUUAGAUACCCGGGUAGUCCCGAGCUGUAAACGAUGCAGGCUAGGUGUUAGGACGGUUACGUGCCGUUCUAGUGCCGCAGGGAAGCUGUUAAGCCUGCCGCCUGGGGAGUACGGUCGCAAGGCUGAAACUUAAAGGAAGUUGGCGGGGGGCACCGACAAGGGGUG